rnacentral:rRNA from 1 species
CAUCCUCCAAGGCUAAAUACUCGUGAUCGACCGAUAGUGAACCAGUACCGUGAGGGAAAGGCGAAAAGAACCCCGGGAGGGGAGUGAAAUAGAUCCUGAAACCGCAUGCAUACAAACAGUCGGAGCCUGGCAACGGGUGACGGCGUACCUUUUGUAUAAUGGGUCAGCGACUUACAUUCAGUGGCAAGCUUAACCGAUUAGGGAAGGCGUAGCGAAAGCGAGUCCGAACAGGGCGUUGAGUCGCUGGGUGUAGACCCGAAA